UACGUAGGGGGCUAGCGUUGUCCGGAAUCAUUGGGCGUAAAGAGCGCGUAGGCGGCCAGAUAAGUCCGGUGUGAAAGUCACAGGCUCAACCUGUGAAUGCCGCUGGAAACUGUCUGGCUAGAGUCCGGGAGGGGCGAGUGGAAUUCCUGGUGUAGCGGUGAAAUGCGCAGAUAUCAGGAGGAACACCAAUGGCGAAGGCGGUGAGCUGGGCAGUUGCUGACACUGAGGCGCGACAGCGUGGGGAGCAAACAGG
rnacentral:rRNA from 1 species